AGAGUUUGAUCCUGGCUCAGGACGAACGCUGGCGGCGUGCCUAAUACAUGCAAGUCGAGCGGACAGAUGGGAGCUUGCUCCCUGAUGUUAGCGGCGGACGGGUGAGUAACACGUGGGUAACCUGCCUGUAAGACUGGGAUAACUCCGGGAAACCGGGGCUAAUACCGGAUGCUUGUUUGAACCGCAUGGUUCAAACAUAAAAGGUGGCUUCGGCUACCACUUACAGAUGGACCCGCGGCGCAUUAGCUAGUUGGUGAGGUAACGGCUCACCAAGGCAACGAUGCGUAGCCGACCUGAGAGGGUGAUCGGCCACACUGGGACUGAGACACGGCCCAGACUCCUACGGGAGGCAGCAGUAGGGAAUCUUCCGCAAUGGACGAAAGUCUGACGGAGCAACGCCGCGUGAGUGAUGAAGGUUUUCGGAUCGUAAAGCUCUGUUGUUAGGGAAGAACAAGUACCGUUCGAAUAGGGCGGUACCUUGACGGUACCUAACCAGAAAGCCACGGCUAACUACGUGCCAGCAGCCGCGGUAAUACGUAGGUGGCAAGCGUUGUCCGGAAUUAUUGGGCGUAAAGGGCUCGCAGGCGGUUUCUUAAGUCUGAUGUGAAAGCCCCCGGCUCAACCGGGGAGGGUCAUUGGAAACUGGGGAACUUGAGUGCAGAAGAGGAGAGUGGAAUUCCACGUGUAGCGGUGAAAUGCGUAGAGAUGUGGAGGAACACCAGUGGCGAAGGCGACUCUCUGGUCUGUAACUGACGCUGAGGAGCGAAAGCGUGGGGAGCGAACAGGAUUAGAUACCCUGGUAGUCCACGCCGUAAACGAUGAGUGCUAAGUGUUAGGGGGUUUCCGCCCCUUAGUGCUGCAGCUAACGCAUUAAGCACUCCGCCUGGGGAGUACGGUCGCAAGACUGAAACUCAAAGGAAUUGACGGGGGCCCGCACAAGCGGUGGAGCAUGUGGUUUAAUUCGAAGCAACGCGAAGAACCUUACCAGGUCUUGACAUCCUCUGACAAUCCUAGAGAUAGGACGUCCCCUUCGGGGGCAGAGUGACAGGUGGUGCAUGGUUGUCGUCAGCUCGUGUCGUGAGAUGUUGGGUUAAGUCCCGCAACGAGCGCAAUCCUUGAUCUUAGUUGCCAGCAUUCAGUUGGGCACUCUAAGGUGACUGCCGGUGACAAACCGGAGGAAGGUGGGGAUGACGUCAAAUCAUCAUGCCCCUUAUGACCUGGGCUACACACGUGCUACAAUGGACAGAACAAAGGGCAGCGAAACCGCGAGGUUAAGCCAAUCCCACAAAUCUGUUCUCAGUUCGGAUCGCAGUCUGCAACUCGACUGCGUGAAGCUGGAAUCGCUAGUAAUCGCGGAUCAGCAUGCCGUGGUGAAUACGUUCCCGGGCCUUGUACACACCGCCCGUCACACCACGAGAGUUUGUAACACCCGAAGUCGGUGAGGUAACCUUUUAGGAGCCAGCCGCCGAAGGUGGGACAGAUGAUUGGGGUGAAGUCGUAACAAGGUAGCCGUA
rnacentral:rRNA from 1 species